rnacentral:lncRNA from 1 species
UUUUUUUUUUUUUUUAAAGGUUAUUAAAAAAAUCCUUUAAAUGCUGCAAUUCUGGAAUUAUUUCUCUUGCACUAAAAGUUCCCAGGGUGGCUUUUCCUUAUGGCAUUCGAGAAUCAUCCCACUUCAUCUCUCACCUGAAUCUUGUCAUCUGUGCCAUCUUGAAGUGAUCUGUGAACAAUGCUGGUCCCUUGGACAGCCCAAGCUGGUCAAUCAGGCAGAACAGACUAUGCAAAUGGAAUGGAAAGGCGAAGCGAUGAAGAACAGUGGCCCCCAUUGUCUUGGGCAUUUCAAAGCGAAGCCCAGCUGCAGCAGGCGUUGCUGUCUCCGGACCCUUGGUUGCUACUCUAAUGUCAUCAUUGCAAAACAUCACAUUUUGAAAACUCUACAGUCUGAAUGCAUGAGCAGCCCUCCACAAAGAUUUCACUUUGCCGUGACAUCUCUCGAAGUCACCCAAAAAAAGGAAAAAAAGGAAAAAAAACCGCCAGCCAACAACCAGUGGGGACUGUGAUCCCAGCCACAUUGCCAGCUCACAUCCCUCGGUCCCUUUCCCUGCGCUCCCAAUAACUGUGGUGCAGCUGAUGCUAAAUGCCUUUUGCAACCUUUUGGUGAUAUUUGUGAUCACCAUGUGCUGAGCAGAGGAAACUCCCCUGUCUUCCACCCUCAUGCCCAGAGCCUGUGCUCAAGGAGCUAAGGUCUCUGCCAUCCGUAUCUUAAAAUGCUGGGGAUUACCUUUCCCUCUUCCCCAUCUCUUAUCUCACAGGAAUUAGUGAAUCCAAAGCUUCUUCUCCAACUUAUUGUAGUUAGCCUACAAAGAUGGAUAAUGUCAUAGCCAGCCUCAGAUGCUGCCUAGUUCAUAGACGGAGCAGUCACACAUUUUAGUGGUCACUCUUGAGUGCUGACUAUGCUCAGUGUUCAUGCAGGAACAGAGAAGAAAGUUUCAUUGGACUAAGAGAGCUGAGUUAAGAAACUCUUAAUUACAUUCUUUACAGGACCAAGAAUAAUUCCGUGCUUCUUUCCUGCUCCUUUUGCUUGGGUAAUGCAUUCUGUAACAAUGUCACAUAGAUUACAAAGGAAGCAAAGAAUAGAAUUAUUUAAAACUAAAUAAUUAUCCACUGCAUUUUGAUUAGCUUCCUAAAUUUAAGUUUGUCCCUUUCAAAAUGCAAUGUGUCAGUAAGAAGGAAAAAAUCAGAGUAACAAACAAAAGCAAAGAGAGGUUGAAGUGAAUGGGGCAAAUAAAUUACUGCAUAGGUGCCAUUUCAUCUUCUGGUUGGAAGUUUCUUUUCCCUUGCCAGAGAGAAUUUUCCUAGGACAGGUACUGGGUUGAAAGAAAACCAGUUUCCAACUACAUCAGCCUCUUGGUCAUAUGAGUAACAGCAGGAAUGCAGACUGCUUCAUACAAAGGUUUCAAUAUAGCUGAUACCUACUGUAAGCACCCUUCCCUGCCAGGUAUUUGUUAGCAGAUGCCCCCAAGACUCUUUCUUUUAUCAGUUCAUCUGAUAGGAGAAAAACUUCACCUACUAGACAAAUGGAUCCCUCAAAAUCUAUGCUCUAGGAGGUCUUGCACAUGCUUUAGGUCCCCUCCAGGCGCCUCACUUGCUAACCUGAAUGCAGAAAUCCAGAGGAAAAACAAUGUUGUGAAGCCAGUGCCUGCACAGAGGACAACAGCAAUGCACAUGGCCAGGGGCCAAAUGCCCUGUUGCUGUACAUGGGUGUAUUUCAUCUGGAGAUACCUCUUACUUCCAGAAAGAGGUUAUGAAGGAGGAAGAUGCAGUGGCUUUCCAAGAGGAGCAGCUGCUCCUCGUGCUUCCCGUGGAGGUGUUGCCAAGGGGCUAAGCAGAGGUGAGGGUCCUCUCUGCGGACACAGCAGCUCCCACACAAUGGUGGGAUGGAUGAUAUCCUCAGGGCCCAGGCCAUGGGAAGGGGACAGGGGCCCACAAGGUCAGUCCACCACCCUUGGCCCAGACAUGUCCCUCUCCUAGAGCAGCCUGUGUUGCCAGCUGAACCUCAUCCCUUCACAGCAGCCUUCCAGCCUCACGCCCAGGGGUUGAGAGACCAGAGGUGCGUUAGCCACCCCUCACUCAGGCCUGCUGCCCCUCCAUAGCACCAAACAAUUUCCUGUCACUCUAGGUUUACAGACUUGGCUCUGCCAGGAGGGAAAUGGCCCCAAAUGUUCCCCUUGGGUAGGGUGCUGGGAUAACCAGGGACAACCUCCUUUCCCAGCGGUCCCAAGUCCCCCUGCCAACGGAAGCUGAUUGGAAACAAGAGCAGCUUCUCCCUUGAGGACAUGAACUUUGCUUUUCACUCACCGCUGGAACUUCUGCCCCUUUCCCCCACCAGCCCAAAUCCUUGUACAUUCAGCCACAGUUAUCUCUGCUCGUGCACUGACUGUAUUUUUCAUGUUUAUUAUCAUCCAACCCAGUGUAAUGCCAUCUGGCACAUGCACACGUGGGGAGAAGAAAACCAUAUAUUCAGCAAAUGGAGCAUACAGGGUUUAGGUUUUGUUUUGCUUCUCUUAUUCUUCCAGUUUCCAUUUAAAAUUAUGUGGAAGGGAUAUCUGAGCAAUUCUCCCUCAUGAAAAAUGAUCAAAACUCCCAGUUAUGAGAUUAAAAAAUACAGGAGAGUGCUGAUGCCAGGAAGGGUCAGGAACAUCCCUGCUGUUGAAAUACAGUUUCUUCUUUUCCUUCUCCUGUGUUUCAUUUCACCUUGUGCUCAGAUAAGGAACACUUAAUACUUUCAUACUUUAUAUGUAUAUAUUUAAUACUUUAAAUGUUUGUGUUCACUCUUUUUACCCAGGAUUUGUUCUGGUCUUUUAAAUCAUUAUUUUACUGUGAGACACGUAUUUUAAGCAUUAUGUGAAAAACCACACUCCUCCGAAGCACUAGAGCAUUGCGAGCCACCCUGCAGUCCUCGAAACCUUUGCUAUUUUCACUGAUACAUUAAAAACUGAUAUAAAAAUAAAUCUGCAGUGUAGAUGUAAAAAAAGCAGGCAGCGUUUUCAGUGAAAGCUAGCACCUAUCGCAUUGCCACCUUAAUUCAAAGAUAGUUUUGUAACAAAGUUGUGUAAUCAAACCAUUUUUCCUCCCUGAUAAUUCAUACUGUAAGAUUAUUAGUGGAGUUGUCCAUGGAAAAGGUACUACAAAAUUUAUUAUAUUACUUGAUUAAUUUUCUUUCAAUUUUUACUUUAAUUUUGUCUAAUUACUGUAUUGUGAUCUAAGUCAGCAUUCUUAAAUUAACUAUCAACUUAAAUUUUGAAGAAACUCUACAAGUGCAUGAUAAUGAUGAAAUUUAAAUUACUGUCGAUUUAUGUGUAAUGUCUACAUCAUGGAAAAGCAAUCCUUCAGGUAUUUUAAUUUCAUUUGCAUAUGUAGCAUUGUGUCUUUCCUGUUUCAUUUGUAAGAGUAGAAUACUUUGUCAUUUCCAAACUAUAAAAAUACUACUAAAAUAACCUGUUUGGGAUAUACAGAUAUAUAUUCCCUAAAUUGAACUAUGGUUUUGAUGAAAAUAUGAAAGAAAAUAGUUCUUGAGACUAGAUUGUUGGUCACCCAGAUUUGUUCAUAUUUGUUCAGAAAAGUAUCUUGUUUUACAGGUAGAUGCAGAAAGGUAAAACUGUUCUCAGAUCCUGCUAAAAUAAAGACAGACAUUUCAAUGCAAUUCAUACAGUGUCUGUAUGUUGAGUUAGAUUCUGGUCUCACAUCUGUUUAAAAAUCAAUAUAUUCUUUGCUCAAGCCCUGAUCCAAGGCUGAAUGAUGUCACUGUAAUGACUUCAAGUGGGCUGUGGAUCAAGGCCUUUUACACCACCGUUCCUUAUGCCACUAGUCUGAGAAAGGCUAUUUUUACCACGUCUUUCUUUUCCUGUGAAAUCAGAUCAUUUGGAAUGAAUUAAAAAUGCCUGAUCAGAGAUGCUCUGGCUUACUUUUUAUGACAAUACUGUUCAUUUUAAAUAUUUCCUACAAAUGCAAUUUGAUAGCAAAAUAAAAGUUUGCACUUUCCC